rnacentral:tRNA from 1 species
CAAGACGUAGCUUAAACAAAAGCAUUCAGCUUACACCUGAAAGAUAUCUGCUAACCACAGGUCGUCUUGA